rnacentral:rRNA from 1 species
CCCUUAGAUGUCCUGGGCUGCACGCGCGCUACACUGAUGUGUCCAGUAAGCACCUAACCUAUUCCGAGAGGAGCGGGUAACCUUAGCAAAGCACAUCGUGAUGGGGAUAGAUUAUUGCAAUUAUUAGUCUUGAACGAGGAAUUCCUAGUAAGCACAAGUCAUCAGCUUGCGUUGAUUACGUCCCUGCCCUUUGUACACACCGCCCGUCGCUCCUACCGAUUGAAUGUUCCGGUGAGCUCUUCGGACUGCGCGGUCUGCAGUUUCUGCGUUCCGUGCGGAAAGUUGUGCAAACCUUAACAUUUAGAGGAAGGAGAAGUCGUAACA